AUUGAACGCUGGCGGCAGGCCUAACACAUGCAAGUCGAACGGUAACAGGAAACAGCUUGCUGUUUCGCUGACGAGUGGCGGACGGGUGAGUAAUGUCUGGGAAACUGCCUGAUGGAGGGGGAUAACUACUGGAAACGGUAGCUAAUACCGCAUAACGUCGCAAGACCAAAGAGGGGGACCUUCGGGCCUCUUGCCAUCGGAUGUGCCCAGAUGGGAUUAGCUAGUAGGUGGGGUAACGGCUCACCUAGGCGACGAUCCCUAGCUGGUCUGAGAGGAUGACCAGCCACACUGGAACUGAGACACGGUCCAGACUCCUACGGGGGGCAGCAGUGGGGAAUAUUGCACAAUGGGCGCAAGCCUGAUGCAGCCAUGCCGCGUGUAUGAAGAAGGCCUUCGGGUUGUAAAGUACUUUCAGCGGGGAGGAAGGGAGUAAAGUUAAUACCUUUACUCAUUGACGUUACCCGCAGAAGAAGCACCGGCUAACUCCGU
rnacentral:rRNA from 1 species